GUAUUCAUUCUCAUGACGUUCCGACACAUGCAUGGGGGGGUUUUCUUUGUUAAAAGGACGCGAGCCUGGGCAGUCAAGCCCAGACCCACGCAAAGGUGCACAGGGGGUGAGAGAGGGUGGAUGAAAAGAAGUCGAGGCGUGCACGGCCACCAGGCCAGCUACAACCUCGCCCUCCGAUCUCGUUAAUGAUCCUUCCGCAGGUUCACCUACGGAAA
rnacentral:misc_RNA from 1 species